rnacentral:rRNA from 1 species
GAUGAACGCUGGCGGCGUGCCUAAUACAUGCAAGUCGAGCGAACAGACGAGGAUCUUGCUCCUCUGACGUUAGCGGCGGACGGGUGAGUAACACGUGUAUAACCUACCUAUAAGACUGGUAUAACUUCGGGAAACCGGAUCUAAUACCGGAUAAUAUAUUGAACCGCAUGGUUCAAUAGUGAAAUACGGUUUUGCUGUCACUUAUAGAUGUAUCCGCGCCGCAUUAGCUAGUUGGUAAGGUAACGGCUUACCAAGGCAACGAUGCGUAGCCGACCUGAGAGGGGGAUCGGCCACACGGGAACUGAGACACGGUCCAGAGUCCUACGGGAGGCGGCAGUAGGGAAUCUUCCGCAAUGGGCGAAAGCUUGACGGAGCAACGCCGCGUGAGUGAUGAAGGUCUUCGGAUCGUAAAACUCUGUUAUUAGGGAAGAACAAAUGUGUAAGUAACUAUGCACGUAUUGACGGUACCUAAUCAGAAAGCCACGGCUAACUACGUG